rnacentral:rRNA from 1 species
AGCGCAGGCGGUUUCUUAAGUCUGAUGUGAAAGCCUUCGGCUUAACCGGAGAAGAGCAUCGGAAACUGGGAGACUUGAGUGCAGAAAAGGACAGUGGAACUCCAUGUGUAGCGGUGAAAUGCGUAGAUAUAUGGAAGAACACCAGUGGCGAAGGCGGCUGUCUGGUCUGUAACUGACGCUGAGGCUCGAAAGCAUGGGUAAGCGAACA